ACGUAGGGGGCGAGCGUUGUCCGGAAUUACUGGGCGUAAAGGGUGCGUAGGUGGCCUUUUAAGUUGGAUGUGAAAUACCCGAGCUUAACUUGGGGGGUGCAUCUAAUACUGGGAGGCUAGAGUGCAGGAGAGGGAAGCGGAAUUCCUAGUGUAGCGGUGAAAUGCGUAGAUAUUAGGAGGAACACCAGUGGCGAAGGCGGCUUUCUGGACUGUAACUCACACUGAGGCACGAAAUCGUCGUGAGCAAACAG
rnacentral:rRNA from 1 species